UAGUCCACGCUGUAAACGAUGAAUACUAGGUGUGGGAGGACUGACCCCUUCCGUGCCGCAGUUAACACAAUAAGUAUUCCACCUGGGGAGUACGACCGCAAGGUUGAAACUCAAAGGAAUUGACGGGGGCCCGCACAAGCAGUGGAUUAUGUGGUUUAAUUCGACGCAACGCGAAGAACCUUACCAGGAUUUGACAUCCUACUAAGGUCGCAGAGAUGCGGCUGUGCCCUUCGGGGAAAGUAGAGAC
rnacentral:rRNA from 1 species